rnacentral:rRNA from 1 species
AGUGAACGCUGGCGGUAGGCCUAACACAUGCAAGUCGAACGGCAGCACAGUAAGAGCUUGCUCUUACGGGUGGCGAGUGGCGGACGGGUGAGGAAUACAUCGGAAUCUACUAUUUCGUGGGGGAUAACGUAGGGAAACUUACGCUAAUACCGCAUACGACCUACGGGUGAAAGCAGGGGAUCUUCGGACCUUGCGCGAUUGAAUGAGCCGAUGUCGGAUUAGCUAGUUGGCGGGGUAAAGGCCCACCAAGGCGACGAUCCGUAGCCGGUCUGAGAGGAUGAUCAGCGACACUGGAACUGAGACACGGUCCAGACUCCUACGGGAGGCAGCAGUGGGGAAUAUUGGACAAUGGGCGCAAGCCUGAUCCAGCCAUACCGCGUGGGUGACGAAGGCCUUCGGGUUGUAAAGCCCUUUUGUUGGGAAAGAAAAGCAGCAGGUUAAUACCCCGCUGUUCUGACGGUACCCAAAGAAUAAGCACCGGCUAACUUCGUG